UGAGGCAGGAGAAUUGCCUGAACCCAGGAGGCGGAGGUUACAUUGAGCCAUGCUCACGCCACUGCACUCCAGCCUGGGAGACAGAGCGAGACUCCAUCUCAAAAAAAAAAAAAAGACAUAAAUAGU